AUGGAUCUCCAGCUUUUCUUCUCUCAGUUUUACCAGAAUCAGUUAGAUUUCAAGGGCAUAAAUGUGGCUCACAUUUCUCUCCUACCCAAAAAGGAUACACUGCUCGAGCUAAAGGAUUUCCGACCGAUCUCUAUCGUUCACAGUUUGCCAAAGCUUGCCAGCAAAGUGCUCACUUGAAGGCUUCAAGUUCACAUC
rnacentral:rRNA from 1 species